GACGUAGGGCGCGAGCGUUGUUCGGAUUUACUGGGCGUAAAGGGCGCGUAGGCGGCCAGCACAAGUCAGUUGUGAAAUCUCCGAGCUUAACUCGGAACGGUCAACUGAUACUGUGCGGCUAGAGUGCAGAAGGGGCAACUGGAAUUCUUGGUGUAGCGGUGAAAUGCGUAGAUAUCAAGAGGAACACCUGCGGCGAAGGCGGGUUGCUGGGCUGACACUGACGCUGAGGCGCGAAAGCUAGGGGAGCGAACGGG
rnacentral:rRNA from 1 species